rnacentral:rRNA from 1 species
AUGGCGACCAAGAGGAGCGUGGGCACCCUGGGCGACAAGGACCUCAGGGGGAAGAAGGUGUUCCUUCGUGCCGAUCUGAACAUUCUACUGGACGACAGCCAGAACAUCACCGACGAAAAUUGCAUCCGUGCCUCCGUGUUGUCCAUCAAGUUCCUCAUGGAGAAGGGUGCCAAGGCCAUCCUGGCCAACCAUCUGGUGAGCACGCGCUUCUCGAUUUGUGUCUAUGGCAUUUUACUGACGAAUUUGUGCCGCUUGAGCUUAGAGUGUCAGAUGGGGGACUUGAUGUCAGUCUUCUGUUCAUCCACUAAUCUCUUGGGAGUUAAGGGAAGAAGAAAGAAAAUACUUUCAGCUAAUAGUUGUAUGUUCCGUAGCCUGUUAGCAUUGUGCUUAAAAAUCAUAGUAACAAAAAUAGUGAGGAUUAACUUAGAAUUGCAUUUUCUUUGA